CAUUGCAGAUUGCAAAACUUCACAUCUUGAGGCUUCAGAGACUAGUCCAAAGCCAGCCAGCGGAGCCAAGGCCGCUGCCUCACCAUUAAAUGUCGAGUUGAAGGGAAACAAUACAUCACCUUCCUCGUGGGCUGCCAUUCAGCCAAGAGUAACAGAGAUUAGCCUUCAAUCACACGGGGGCUGGAGCUGAAGGAAGCCUUCCCGAGGACACGCUGGAGAAACAUUUUCAUUAGCGGAGGAGAACCUGACAGAGAUGAAGUGCCCCUUCACCUCGACUGCUGGACCUCUCCCCUGCCUGGUGUUAACAGGAUGAGGAGAUGCUAACUGAGGAGCUGGUGCCAGCUGCAACACUUUCAGUGCUGUCUGCAUCCAGAUACCGUCCUCUCUUUGGCACUGCCUGCGAUAUUGCAUUAACAGCACGUCUCUGCGGUGAAGAAAUGAAGAGGGUGCAACAGAGAUCAAAAUGAAAUCCUCAGAGUUGCCCAGAAGGAUGGAUAACUGCAAGGAAAAAUUACCCCAUGGCUCUGGAAAAGGAAGAUGUACUUGCUCAGUAACCUGGUGAUGAGGCUGUGUCUCGCCUCCUCUGAACGGGAGCUAAUCUCAUGGAAGAGUGCCUGUGCCCACACCGCUCCAGCAGCCCCUCUGCCAGCCUUCUGUCCUCGAGGGCCAGCUCAGCAAAGCCUUAGUGCUGUUCUGGGCCCAGCUUUCAUUUUCCAGCUGGUUACGGAGGAGAGAGUGAAGGUAGCUGCUGCUGCCGGGCCACGCUAGGUAACAGGUGGGGGACAGGCCUCCUUGUGCACUUAAAGAUCCAAGAGUUUAAUCUGAUUCUGGCUCUCUGUUAGCCCUGAUCCUGUCUUGCAUCUUUUCCAGCUGAUGCCUGAGCCUGUCUUUGUUUUGUUUAUUUUUUUCUUUUUCCCUUUUUCCCUCACCUUAUGAAAAAUGGCUUUGCCAUCUGCAUCUGUCAGGAGUCUGCCGAGCCGGGUAUCCAGCUCAGUGAAUAUACAAAUGGGUGGUUGGAUUGUGGCCCCCUCUGACAGGCCGGAGAUGAAUACCAAACGUGCAGGGAGAAGAGUGUGUUCCCUUCCUCCGCUGCUGCUGCCUCUGAUGGUUGUUUUUCUUAUCCCAAGGAGGUGUGAGAAUCGCCUUUGGGAGCAGUGCUUCCUUCUGCUCCAGUUCUGCCUUGCCAAGGUUCAGUUCUCUGCCAUCCAUCAUCAGACGAGUCCGUUCCUCGCUCCCACAUCUCAGCUGCUGAUGGGAAUGCUGGGGAAGGGGUAACUGUUUUACCCUGCUUUUUUCUACUAUCCUUUUCCUUCUCCCUUUUGUAUCUCACCUCCCAGGCCCAAUUACCAGGCUGGGGCUUGAGGACACUUGCCUUCACUUGCUGGUCCAGGUACUUUUUGAGAGAGGUAAGGGUGAGGUAGAGGAAAGGGGAAUGUCUGACCUUACCCAAGUGGCUUAAAAUGUAAUUUUGAAUGGAAGUUUUCAGCAGUGCUGUGUGUGACUCCACAUAAGAAAGCACCCAAGCACUCCUGCACGUCUUGGCCUCGCUGCGUCCCCUUUCCCUGCUGUGGGUGACCUAUGGGGUCUGCAAGGAGGAAUGCACCAGCCAGGAGAUGCUCAGAUGCCAUAACUCCGCAGGGUCACUCAGGUACCCGAAGGGAGAUGACAGCCUCCCCUUGACACCCUUGGAUUUGCUCACCUCCUCCUGCCUCUUGGUUUUCUGCAGUCUGGUACGUGAGCUGCUUCCCUGGCCUCGAUGCACUAAGAAGCUUUCAGCCAGGUGGGCUCAGAGGAGCAGGCAGGCAGAAAAUGAGAUGAGUCUCUGCGUGCUUUUGCCACAGCUAUCUGGUCAAGGAGGGGAAGUUUCUGGGAGGGCAGACCCCCGCUUUGGCAGGAGGAGCGAGGAGGCAGCCUGAGCUGAGCUAGUUUUUUGACAAGCAGAUGGAUGUUCAGCAGGGGCCCAAGAAAACCCUUUUGCUUCAGGCUAGCUGCAAGCCCUCCAAACCAAAGUGUUGUGCUGAUGCGAAAAAAAACAUCACUCCGUAGCUGCUCGGCCCGAAUUACCUCUUCCAGGCGCCUGAUUCAGGAUGCGGUGAUCAUCCCCUCCUGCCACCGGCUCCAGGGAGGAGCCCGCUGCGUUCUUGCGACCGGGCAAGGAUGCAGCAGGAGCCGUUGAGCAGCGAAGAGGGAGGAAGGCGAGCGAUGGCAGAUUCCUCUGGCGUCUCCACACCACAGGGCUCUUGGCGAGCGAGCGCUCGUCUGCUUUGAAAGCUCUUAUUGUUCCUGCAGGUGGGAGCCAAUUUGUCUGCUUUCCUGCCCAGGUGCCAUCUGUUUGUAGGAUUGCCUGUACGGUGGUUGAGCGCGACGGGGAUGGCGAAGGGAAGGGGCUGCCGGGGUGGGAGAGAUGAGCCUAAAACUUUCCUUGAGUAACUUCAGCGCUUCUGGCUGCCGUUGCUCCCUCUCCCCUGCAUCGCGGCAGGGAAAUCACAGCCUGUCAUUUGCUGUUCCUGGAGCGUGAUAGGGAGCCGAGGCACCGCUAAUAGCGAGCUAUCAUUUUAAUGCUAAUUUCCUACCGUUAGCUCAGGCUGGGGGAGGCUCAGCCUGGGUGGAGGGAAGCCAUUAGCAGAUGGAGAAGAGGGGAGGGAUGUGUGGGGAUUGUUCUGCACCCCGAGAAGGGACUUCCAGAGGGCAGAUGAUUAACCACCACUGGGAAAACUGGUAGCAGGCGCUGGGGUCAGUCUCUGGUGGAUGUGGGAGGGAGAGGGACAUUUUGUUUUAACUCGUGUUCCCGUAGGGAUUUCUCAAGUGCUUCAGGCUUUGGAUCGAAUUCGGUGUUUGCUGCUUAUUGCCAGCACUCAGUACGUGGUGACCCAGGGGAUGCUCAGAGCACUGGCAGGGCCGUGGCUGGUGGUGUGGUUGUCCUUUUAACAAAGGAGCCAAGCAAGGUUGGGUUUUUAGCUACUGUCUUUUUGUGAGGAGCUCCCCAAUUCAGGAGCCUGGACAUCCGCACUGGGUGAUGGGCUUCAAAGCGGGGAAAUUUUGAAGCCAUUCUUGAGAUACUCAAGAGCGAAAAAAAAAAUAAAAAUUUGCCCUAUUGCCAUGGGAACAAGCUCAGCUGCCCCAAGCUGGAGAGCUGGCAGGAGAAACCCGUGGCUGGAACCAUUUCCCUGCCCUUUCCAGAGGUGGGAGUUCCCACAUCCAACCUCUUGGUCAGUCUCCUCCAGCCAUGCUUUCCGAGUGGAAGAGCCUGUGCUGCUCCCCAGGCUGGUGCAGUUGCCUGGGAGCUCCUGGGGAGUUUGAAUGGAGAUGACUGGUUGUGCUGGGAGUGUAGGGCCUGUUUGGGGUUGUGUUGGCAGCAGUCAGAGAGGUUCCUCUACCAUUUCUAGACCUGCUUGGAAACCUUGAGACUAAAGGAGCAUGAGCUGGGAUGCUGUGCUCAUGGGAAGAAACUGGUUGCCUGCUACUGAGGGACAGCAUUGUUUUAAAGGAGGGGCCCAGUAGUGUCCUGGUCUUUGGUACGACACAUAUUUUGAAGACCUGCCAGCCUGUGCUGAUCUAGACCAUUGGCUUCAUCAUUUCAUAUGGAAGCAUAUAUGGAUUUUUUUUUAAAACCAUUUAAAGACCAUUUUAAAACUCUUCUGUUAUCUAGCAGAGAGGCCGUGGAGGGGCAAAAGCAGCUGUGAUAAAGGGAAGGAAAACCAGCGACUGGUUAAACGGCAAAGGGAUGGGAAGCCAGGAGGGGACCAUCCUGCCAGGAGGACAUUAGUACAAGGCUACGUUAGCAGAGCAGCAUUGCUUGCUGUGGUUACCAGCUAUCAGAUCUGCCCCAGGGUGGAGCAUGACUCACUGUUUUUUAGGGAGCUAUUUCCAUCUAAAAAAAUGGUUUCGAUCUUUUCUAGAGCCUCUUAUCCACCUUUGGCCAGGAGAGAAAGAAAAAAAAGUGAAGGGCUACUUUUUCCUAGCUGAGGAGAAUCAAACAAACUUUCCCUCGAGUAGCUGAGUGAGGAAAUCAGCGCAUUACUUAUUCCCAAGAAUAACACAAUCAAGUAGAUAGGGGAAAAUAAAAUAAAAUAGCGUUGCUUUUCCCAGUUCAGCACUCUGAAUAAUGAGCCUACAAGCCGGAGGGAGAGCUCCCAGGAGAGGUGCCUGUGUGCAGGAGAUGGACACAACAAGUGUCUCGGAUGGGCCGAUAUCUGAAGCGAUCUCUCUCUAAUUUUCUACAUCAGUGAGAACACAGCGCGGCGCCAUCAAUCAUAGUCAACCCCCCCCCCGCCUUGGAAAGCCACCUCCUGCCUCUCCGUACUGCGACGUCCCCCUUCCGCUUCUGCCCCCGGCUGGGGACCACAGCUGUCCUGGCCAGCAGCGCCUGCAGGCAUGUUCUCUCCCGGGGGGGGGGGGUUUCUUCUUUGUCACGUUUAGAGCCUGCUUGUGUUUCUGCCUUUCUCCUUCCUCCAUCCCCGGCACCUGUUCCUCACCGGUGCUUUAUUUCCAGACUGCCUCUCCCCUUGCUGGAGUCAGAAAAGGCCAAAUUACUCCUUUUAUCCCCAGGGAGGAGAAGGUGUGGAGCCACUUCUGGCAUAACAGCCCUUGCUGCUGCCUGGAGGAGGGUUGGGGGUGAAUUUGGUGCCUGUAGUGCUCAUCUGUGGAUGGGGAGGUUGGACUUUUUACAGGUCCCUUGGGGCUGCUUCUGCAGUAAUGGCUAUCAGGGCACGUUCUGUGGCUUGCUGGUUCCCCAGCUCUGGGUGUGGAGCAGCUAAGGGAGCCAUCUUUCAUGCCGGGCUGGUGGUACGAUGCAGCAGCUAUUAGUCCCUUGGUUUCUCCUUUUGUGAAGUCCUUUGCUCCUUCCAGGCCUGGCUGUGCUUCCAUCAGACCCUGGGGCACCUCUUUGGCAUGAGUACUGGUGGUGGGUGUCCUCCUGGGCAGGCCUGGGCCAGAUGCACUGCUAAGCUGGCCAGAAGGCUGGUGGGACACAGAGCUAUACUCAUGACCGUUCCUUCUACUGCAGCAUGGACACAGCUGGUGGGUUUGAUGGCUGUUGCUUCUCCAUCUUGCUCAUGCUAGAUUGGGUGCUCUUGCUCAAGUGUGAUGGCUCUUGGACCUACCAAAGCCUGGCUAACUGAUGGCAGCUAUCAUGAAACAAAAGUGAUUUGCAGUCCCAUUUCUGGCUCCACGAGCUCAAGCACCAGUUAGAACCAAGGACUGUGCUUCUUGCUUCAGCCCAGCUCUAGGCAGAAGCACCUUCUGAAUAAAUCCGUGCAAUUGCCACCUGCCUCUCAGCCUCUUAUACUGGCUUCUGAGAGCUGCCAAGGAUCCUUGACCUCUCUUUCAGGCAUGGUUUCCUGCACGUAUCAACCCUGCUCCGGUGUUGUGGAGCUAUUGCUGGCUUCCGUAAUAGCUGCUUUGUUUACUUCCCAAAUGUGCCUGCCCUUUCUGUAAUGAGCUAUAAUUCAUCCUGGUUUAUACAGUGCUCAGAGAUACCUGGAGCAAGGAAGGUGUGCCAUUAAACCACCUCCUAGGCUGCUCUCUGCACCGGGGUUGCUGAUCUCCUGCAGAUGUAAACCAGGGAGGACAAGGGGGACGAGAUCGAAAUGGGGAAUAAUUACCUAGCAGGGUAAAAGGGACUGACUGGGUUGGAAACUGCUGGGAGCUGACAUGCAGGUGCAGAUGAACGGCUACGACAGGCAGGCAGGGUGGAGGGAUGAAAGAUGGGGUUUUUUUAAAGCAUCUGCUUUCCUCUCUUCCUCUGCUUUAUAACCUGUUUUUAUAGAGACUGCAUGAGGAACACAUUUUUUUAUUAGCAGCUUGGGAGUGGAGAGUAAUAAAGAUUAAUUUUUUAAAUAAUUCCUUGCAUUAUCUUUUAAUUUCCUGUGGCAGGGUUUGACUUUUAAAUCUGCAAAUGGAGUUAACAGCUAAUGUGCUCAUCAGUUUGGGAGCGGCGGCUGAAGGAGCUGUGGGACUUGGUGAAGGUAGGAGAGACUCCAAAGUUGAGCCUGGAGUCUCAGCCUCUCCUGGGCUGGCCACAGCCUGUUCCCUGGCCGUAAGGAUCUGUUCAGGUCUGUAGCACCGUCCCAGGAAAACGCGGAGAGAUCUAAUCCAUACUGCAGCUCAUGGUGUCCAUUCGGCUUCCUUCCUUUGAUAGUAAUGAUGAAGCUCCCCUGAGGAGGAAGGAGGGAAACCUGAUGACCCUGCUCUGCUGCUGUGGGUGACGCAUCCUUGCAGAUCUCCAUCCAGGACAGCAUGUGCUGCUGGGACCUGGGCUGAGAUGUGUGCGGUGGUGGGCACAUGGGUUGUCCAGACCAGCUGGGUUCCUCAGUGGUCUUGCUGCUGCUAGUGGGAGGUGAUCACAGGAUGGGGUGAGAUACUAGGAAGAAAUAACAAGGGAGCAGUUGAAGGAGAAGGGGAUGAGGUGAGAGAGAGAAGUGACAACAUGGGGGAUGUGAUAGAGAAAGGCUCUCCCUGCCCCCUGCAUCCGCACUCUCCAUCCCAGCCUCCGUGAUGCUCUGUUGGGCUUUAACCUGCUGGGAGACUGGCUUACAACGCAGCUGGUCUACCUUUGCUGGCCUGGGUGAGCUCAUGUGGCCUGAAGGGUACCCACAGCACGGGGGGCACUGAAGCUGGGCAGAAGUGAUGCCCAGCACGCAGACACCCCAGCCCCAGCUUCCUUUGACCACCGACUUUCUUUUUGUAGCUUAUUCUUCAUCGUAUGGCCAUGCUGGCCGCUCAAGUUUGCUCUGAACUUCUGAGCUGUCUGUAGAGCAAGUGGUGGAGGCAGAGAGCAACCGUUGUGGAGAACCAGCCAGUGCGGACAGGAGCGUUUUGGCUCACGUUGGUUUGAAAGCAGCCGUAGCUCAAGUGCCUGGUGUGGGAUUUGGGAAGGCAGAGGGGAAGCUGAGUGAAGGGUGGAGCACAGUGGAAGCGUUGACCAUGUCCUGAAGAGGCAUUUUAAUGGAUUACAUCACUCCUGUGCUGGAACCAGCACUGGGAUGAAGGUUUUUGGAGAUGUCUGGGCAUGGGGGAGAGCCAAAUCGUGCAUGGGGGAGUGCUCUGACCCAGACAGCUCCUGGCUCCCUCUGACAGAUGCCAUCUGGAGCAGGCUUUGUGCACGCCUGGGUGUCUGUCUGCUUUGGCAGCCUUCUGAUGGCCAGCUGCGUUGACCCAGACAUGGGAGGACUGUGCUCUCCCUCAGAGUCCUCCGCCUGGCUGGAAGAUCUGCCCCGCAUCGCGACAGGGGAGCUCCAGGCUGGAUCCAGCCUCACAGCUGCUCCCCCAUCUCCCCUUGCUCCUGGGAAGAGGAGAAGCAUGCCCCAGCCCAUCCCCUGGUGUGAGGGUCGGUUGCCCCAUGCCAAGUCAUCUGCGUUUGUUGGCGUUUUGCUGGACAAAGCCGUCCCUGAUGAGGUCCAGGUUUGUGGGCACGGUGCAGAGGGAUGUGGGUGAGUUUGCUUUUGGAGGCUGCGCGACUGCCUGGCACCAGACAGACCGCUCGCAGCAAUCGAUGUGGUUUGGGUUCUGGUUUUGUACUUUGGCAGCGGGCUGAGGUCUCGUCCUGCUGGCCACGCUUCAUCCGACCUCGUCCUCUGGUGUCCAAGGGAGCGACAAAAAGCUUCGGUGCAUGUGGCUCGUGCAUGUUUUGGGUGGGAAAACACAUUUCUCAGCCCUCUUUAGAUUCUCCGUGUAUUCAAACUGGAACAGAGGACCCUGCCCUCUGCCAGCAGAUGACAGAAAUGCUUUAUGGAUGCUCCUCAUCUCAGGGGGGAAACUGAGGCACAAAGAGGUGCCUUGAUGCCCAUACCACGAGCACCUUGCUCACACACGCAUCCGCCCCUCUGUGUACGGCUGCCAACUCCGGUGUCCCGAUGUGCUACAAAUAACCGCAGCUUUCAGUUGUGCUUUUCAGCCAAAAGCAACAUCAUUUGCAAAAGUUACCGGGUGUCAGGAACACCGGGGGGCAGUUCCCGAUUGUCCAUAUCUGUCCAAAAGCAGAAACCUCUCCUGUUAUGGUGAGUUCUUUUAUUUUAUUUUUUUCCUUCUGAAGUCACAUAGAGAAAAAUGGAAAUAAAGAGCAGCAGGGAGAGAGCUGUUAAAAAGCUUAAAGCUGUCACAAGGCAUUGGUUAGUUUAUGUGCGGUGAAGUAUACAAACAAGUUUUCAGCUUGUUGGUUGGAGCCAAGGAACGGGGGGUUUUUUUGUGUGAUAAAUAUGUUUUACGGGUCUUUUAUGGGAUUUUUUUAAAAUGCCUGUCCCAAUAAAUUAUUUACCAGGGUAAUAAAAGAUCGAGGAAAUUGGUCCAACCAUAUCGCUGAGCAUCUAAAUCCUGAACUUUUACUGGGGUGGAAGGACCCUCUGAAUUCCCGUGGCCUUAUAAAAGAUGGUCUGGGCGUGCUGUUUGUCUACGGCAUUGUUCUGGAGGCCAGGUGCCCAGCCAGCCCCAGCACUCGGCGUAUCUCCAGGAGGUCCUGGAGGCCUGACACCAGUUUUCAGCCCCUCACCAUUUACUCCUGGAGAUGGAUAGCAUUUUCCUCCACCGCCGGCUCUCACAGCUGCAAAUCUCUCGAUAGUCUCUGACUCUUUUAGGUUUCCAAAAGGUCUCGGAAGCAUAAUGGUUCUUCCUGGUGUGAAGUGGGAGGUAGAAAUCGCUUAGGAAGCAGCAAGGGGUUUGAAGAACAGCCUUAGCCCCCUCCAGUACAGGCUGGAAGGGCUGACACAUAGUCCUGCAGAUAACGGGGACCUCCUCGCACCCCAGAUGUCUUGAUGGGUACGCUUCUCCUUGCUUGGUAUCGACUCCUGCGCAAGGGGAGGGCCAAGUUCUGCUCGCUGCUGGCCAGGUCUCCAUGGCAAACAAACCCAAAAUAGCCUUUGCAGAGGGGAAAUAAAAAUAUAUGGCGUUCCAGCCACACGGUCUAUAAAUACAUCUUUUGGGGUAUUAGACCAGGCUUUAAGAAGUUCUGUCGCUCUCCCUGCUCCUCCCAAGGGGAUGGAGGAAGGAGAGGGCUGGGGGGUUGUACCAAGGGUCCUUGCCUCAAGACAGGGCAGAUACUUUGGCUGCAUCCCAGACUUUCUGCAGUAAGUGGGAUUAGAUUUAACCCCCAGUACAGUUUAAAAGACAUCCAGUUGUUCCUGUGGUGCCUUCUGUAAGGACUCUGGUUGAGCAAGAUGCAUCCCUGUGCAGUAAGCUGCUCAUAAAUAAAUUUAGAUGGGAUUUUAGAAGCAAUUUCUGAAGCUUGAAAGAGAUAAGUCUGGAGUGGCCUUCAAAAGGGAUGGUGGGUGGGAAGGGACAGCCACUGUUUCAAGAUAGCUCUCAAUAUUCAUGGGAAGGAUUAUUUAUUCAGAGCCUUUCCAGAGGGGAGAGUCCUUGGGUAUCUGAUGUGUUGAAGUGAGACUGGAUUGAUCUUUGUUCAUGUUGUCUGUAGCUUAUAUUAAUCCUAUGCCUCAGGGCAUCUGCUGGCCUCCACAGAGUCCAGGGAGGGAUCCUCGUCUCCAUUGAUGCCUAAUUUGGCUCCUGGGUUUGGUCGUGGCCCUGUCUGUCUCUGAGGUGGUGGAGAGUGGCCACAGCUGGAAGCACAUCUGGGGACAGGGAGAAAUUUCCCUGAUCAGCCAACAGGGAGCACAAGGCUUUAUUUGGCUUCCUUCUGGUGGCUUCCUCAGAUCUUACCAUUUUCUGAAAUAUUUCCUCUGCUGUUACGAGGCCCUGGGAAAUUCACGGAGCUGCUAGUCUUCCUCGUUUGCUUCCUGUGCCAUGUUAUACUGGUGCCUUUUGGGCUUUCCUUGGGCUGGUCCUGCAGCCUGGGACAUGGCCGUGUCUCCAGACCCUUUGGUCUAACAGAACCAUUGAAAUGGAGAUCCUGGGCAGCUCCUGGCUGUCCUGAGCCACCCUUCUGGGCUGCCCUAAGCCUGGGGAGAGUGCAGGCAGUAAAAAGGGGGCUUGCUCCCCUAAUCUGGCCCAGCAGGAACAUCCCCUUCGAGUCCGUUCCCUUGGCUGGUGGCUGCCAAAGUUUGGGGGUAUGUUCGUUGCACCCCAGAGGAUAUCGGUGCUGGUGCCCACUUGUGCGGUGCAUCCCCGGUGGGCGGGCUUAAGCCGGGCUGAGCGCUCAAAGCUCACAAAUCAUUAAGGCUGUAGCCUGGGAAACGUUGAAACCGGAGCUGCGUGUCUGAAUGGGUGAUGUUUGCUGGGGUCAAGGCUGGGUGGUUUGGCUUUUGGACUGGCAGCUGGGGAUUUCAGAGCAGGCUUUUCAUUGGGAGGAGCGAGACUGGUACAGUGUCUGAUGUUUGGCUUUAAAGAAAAAACGACACCUCUCCCCACGUCCUUCUUAUUAAUUGUCAACACGUCCUGCCAGUUUGGCAAUGGAUGUCAUAAAUUAAAACGAAAAUUUCAGCCAGCACGAGACAGGCAUAAGAAGCCCAGAUGAUGUGUGUAGGCCAGGCUUAGCAUCUCCUCCUGCUCGCUCCAGACUAUGCAGCACGACUCCGCUGACUUUGGUGGCAUUUCCUCCUGGCUCGCCUCCUUGUGAUGGGAAUUAGACUGCACGUAAUUGAAAAGGAUGGGGCGUCUGCCAGCACACUGCGAGCCACGUUCCCCUUGGCAGCUUGAGCUUGCUGGUGGAGGACAGGGGAGACGGGCUGGGGCAGAUGCCUGUGUCAGGGGGAGGUGAGCAGCCCUAGCAUCGUGGGGAUCCCAAAUCCUUCUCCAUCUGAAGCGCUCUGCAUGUGGCUCCCUGUUGUGCAGGGUUUGCCUGUGCCCGGAGGGGGACUGAUGUCUCCAGCUGCUGUUGCAUGAGCACUAAUUUGUUCUCAUUCGUGAUCUCCCCCUUGCUGGCACCAGGACAGGCAUGUGAAUAACUGCUUCUCCGAGCAGCUUUCUGAACCAAGGACUUGAUCUUGAAAAGCAUCCUGUGAUCUGGCCGGCUGUUGCUGACCCUGGGCUUUGCACUGCCAUGUCUCCCUGUCCGAGCGUCAGUCAAGAGAAGCAGAGGGAGGUGAAAGGUUCCUGGGGUUCACGUGGUCCCGAAUGCUAACGAGAGCUCGACGCACACGGACGGUACGGCGGCCUUGGUGUAAGGCCAGUGAUCAAGACGCGAGGGCAAGGCGUUGUAAAUCUGGCACCUACAAAGAUGCAGGGAAUAAAGCGGGGCAAGAUCUGCAUUUCAAAGAGCGUUGGUUCUGUAACCGCACAGGGAGCGGACGUGCAUGCCUGCUUGCCGCCAAGGCAGAGAGACGAAGCUGUUUGAACUACGGUCUCUAGGAGCUCGUAACCAUCAGCUCUGCGUUCGGGGCACGGUUGAAGGAAAGCUUUAUAACCCUGCACUAAUUGCAUGGUGCUGAGCCUAGGAGGUGAUGCCUGCUGGGCACGGCUCUGCCUAACACAGGCUGCAUCAGAUGAAGACGUCUUGAAACCAGGCUUUGCUUUCAAGUGCACGAGGUCCUUCGCCUGGCUACUAAUGACAGAAACGUCCCUGCCACUGAAGUAGCCCUGCCAGCACUAGGAGAUCAUAGAAUCAUAGAAUGGUUUGGGUUGGAAGGGACCUCAAAGAUCAUCUAGUUCCACCCCCCUGCCAUGGGCAGGGACACCCUCCACUAGACCACGUUGCCCAAAGCCCCAUCCAACCUGGCCUUGAACACUGCCAGGGAUGGGGCAUCCACAAUCUCUUUCCUCUUGGGGGGGCCAGGUCCUACCUCAAAAGCCUGCGGUCCAGGCAGGAGAGGCAGCCACGGGAGCAGGAGGUGAAAGAAAAUCCAGUGGUGAUGAAAUGAUUUGGGUUUGUCUUCCAGUUAUAUCAGGGAUUGAGUCGGGAACGACUGGACACGGCCAGAGCUCCAGCCUGGCCACAGUCGCUGGUCAAGGUGGCUUCCUUCACUGUGUAUGGCUUCUUUAAAAACAAAAAAUGGGGUGGUUUUUGGCUGUGAAUUGUUUUUUUUGGUUGGUGUUUUCUGGAAGGAGAAAUUCUAGAGGGUGGGUGGUUUCAGGCAGCACGGCGCAAUUUUCAUUUCUCUGUCUCGGCCAGCUUGGUGGGAGAUGGAGCAUCUCUCCCCAGCACCCCGGCUGUCACGCUCCUGGGGCAUCUGUUUCACUGGGUGAAGAGGGAGCAUCGGCAAAUCCCAAUUUCUGAGUGACUCCAGCCUGGCCUGCCCAGCACGGGGUCGUGAUGGGCUCGGUUUGGAGACGUCCCCGGGUGAUGGACGAGCAGACCUCUGCAUUCCUUGGCCCUGCUGACAUCCAGACCCUCAGAGCCAAGACCGGGAGCAGGAUCCUGAUGCCUGGCUUGUGUUAAACCUUGCGUGCCUCAAAGGGGCUGGAAGGAGGGGCAGUUGUAGGGGGAGAUGCUUCCUCUAGGAGGCAAAAUAAAAUAGAGCGAGGCAGUGGCUGGGUAUAGCAAAUAAGGCAGCUUAAAGCCAUCCCUUCCCAUCACCAAACUGAGUGUGGAGCAAGGAUGGUUUUUAUGAAGAAAACUCUUCUGUGUUUGUGCAGGUCAGUCACCUGUCCGGGUCACCGGUGUGCAGUUAUUUACAUCUCAGAGGGCACCGUCAGGGCAAAAAAAAAAAAAAGAAGAAAGAAGAAAAAUCCCAUCCAUGCCACUCAAAACACCUCGGUUCACUUGGGCUGUGGUCCAGAAAAGCACUUAAGUGUGUGCAGACGCCUCCCCGGGCAGCAGCAUGUGGCAUCCUCGCCCCGGGCAGGUCAGCAGGGGCUUUGCUGUCAACCUGGGGAGCCAGGCGCCACAGCAAGGACCAGGGAGGACCUUGCUCUUGACGCCUGCCUUUGCAGCAUCCUCAUGAGAUCCUCUGCGAGGUCGUCCCUCUGGGCGAUUCCUGAUUUGAUCGUGGCUGAGCCUGGGCUGGGAAGUUACUAUAUUUUUAUUUUUGUUCCUUAACUAAGUGACCCUGCCUGUGAGAAACUGAAACCUUCCUGGAAAUGAGGACUUGCUCCUUCCCUACUGGGAUGACUGGAGGCCUGCAGGAUGUCACCCUGAGGCAGGACAUCUUUUCUCAGAAAAACAGGACUGGGAGACAAGGCGGGAGACGUGGGCAAAGGAAGACAGAUGUAUGGAGAAGAGAAGUCCAGGUGACAGAUUGAGGGAUGCUGUAACCACAAUAGCCGGCCUGAUGGAUUGAUAGAUUAGACAGGGAAUAUAAAUAGCAAACAUGGUUUAUCUACCCUCCCCGUUUUAUUUUCCUCUCGCUUAUCUCUUUAUCUCUCCUGGUGUUAUUUUCCUCCCGCUUAUCUCUUUAUCUGUCCAGCCGGAGGAUGGAGGAGGGGGGGGGGGGGGACAAGCGGGUGACAGGAGCAGGAUGGAUGAGGUCAGGUUACCACCGCUUUUGCAGCAUCCAAGCAGGCAAGUUUUGCCAGGCAGGGAGGAUUAGGAAGCGGACUCAGAUCUGCACACCGAUACACUUUUUGGGGUUGUUUUUUUUCUUUUUUCUCCCUCCUGUCGCCUUCUCCCCGCACCCUGCCCAUCCCUUCUGCCCGCGCUCCCUGUUUCAGGGACGCUGUGGGUUGGAGGGUCGGCUCCUUCCUCCUUUCCUUGGUCCCCGGCCAAGAAAUGAGGGCAACUGCCGAGGCGGUGAGCUCCGCUCGUCUGGAUGCCCAGCGCUUCCAUCCGACAGCCGGGCAGCACCGCUGCUUGAUAUUCCGGUCAGGCGCCGAGCGCGGCGGCAGCAGCAGGAGCGGGGAAGGAGGGAGGGGAGCCCAGCUCCGCUGAGCCCUCAGCUGCCAGCUCGCCUGCCCCCGCUGCCCGGCUCUUCGCCCCGGCUCGCUGGGCUGAGCUGAGCGGGUGCCGGAGAUGCCGCCGGGUCCCCGGCGGUGGGGCUGCUGGAGACCCAACCUUGGUGGGGGGAACCCACUGCCCCUUGAUGCCUGCGCUGGGUGGAGGGGGCCAGGAUGGGUUGCACCUGGUUUGGGGCCCUCUCUAAGGGGAUGAUGGAUGAACAGGUCUUGAGGAGGUCAACGAGGAUACCAGAAGUAUGGAGCAACCUACAGAUAUGGACCAAGCAAUGGAGCUAGGGCACAGAGAUGACCGUCGUACCUGUCUGUGCAAUGGUAACUGGCCGGAGAGGGUGGCUGGGGGUCAGGUAUCCCCUGGCUCUCCCUGGACCAGAGCUAAGGGUCAUCAAGAGAACCUCCAAGGGCCAAGCUUGACAUGCCCAAAGAGGUGGUUUGUGCCCCAACAGGUGACCAAGCCACGGCACUGCUCGCCUCAGAGCACGGUGGACGUUUGUGUGGGACCAGGAGGAGGUUGGACAUGAGAUGCGGCUGGUGCCACAUGGAGCAAAGGCGAGAGCUGGGGGGAACGGGCAGGAGCUGCCGGCUCCAGGUGCGGGCAGGAUCCCUCCAGGCACGGCUGAUGGUCUUAAUGGGCCACCUCGGAGCCCUGUCCUUUCGAGUUAAUGAAGACGUGGACAGGAGACAGAUGGCCAGCCCGUGUGGUGGCAUCUCCCCUCCUCGGGAGGCUCGGCUAAAA